ACGGGUGCGUAACGCGUGGGAAUCUGCCCUUGGGUUCGGAAUAACAGUGAGAAAUUACUGCUAAUACCGGAUGAUGUCUUCGGACCAAAGAUUUAUCGCCCAGGGAUGAGCCCGCGUAGGAUUAGCUAGUUGGUGGGGUAACGGCCUACCAGGGCGACGAUCCUUAGCUGGUCUGAGAGGAUGAUCAGCCACACUGGGACUGAGACACGGCCCAGACUCCUACGGGAGGCAGCAGUGGGGAAUAUUGGACAAUGGGCGAAAGCCUGAUCCAGCAAUGCCGCGUGAGUGAUGAAGGCCUUAGGGUUGUAAAGCUCUUUUACCCGGGAUGAUAAUGACAGUACCGGGAGAAUAAGCUCCGGCUAACUCCGUGCCAGCAGCCGCGGUAAUACGGAGGGAGCUAGCGUUGUUCGGAAUUACUGGGCGUAAAGCGCGCGUAGGCGGCUGCUCAAGUCAGAGGUGAAAGCCCGGGGCUCAACCCCGGAACUGCCUUUGAAACUAGGUAGCUAGAAUCUUGGAGAGGUCAGUGGAAUUCCGAGUGUAGAGGUGAAAUUCGUAGA
rnacentral:rRNA from 1 species